ACGCGGUAGGAACCUACCUAGUAGUUUGGGAUAGCCCAGAGAAAUUUGGAUUAAUACCGGAUACGCCCCACGGGGGAAAGCAGAGGAUCUUCGGACUUUGCGCUAUUAGAUGGGCCUGCGUGAGAUUAGCUAGUUGGUGGGGUAAUGGCCCACCAAGGCGACGAUCUCUAGCUAGGUUUGAGAGGAUGAUCAGCCACACUGGGACUGAGACACGGCCCAGACUCCUACGGGAGGCAGCAGUGGGGAAUAUUGCACAAUGGGGGAAACCCUGAUGCAGCCAUGCCGCGUGUGUGGAGAAGG
rnacentral:rRNA from 1 species